UCUAGUUCUUACCCCCUCGAAUGCAUAUAGGCAUAUAUAGCUCUCUUCCUCAAAAGAAAUAUAUCCCUCAUUCCCUUUCUAAUAUACUAACCUCCCUCUUUUCUAUAUAUGCAUAUACAUAUCAAUAUCGAAUCUUUCUCAUUUUUAUAAUAUAUAAUUCUAGGUUUUUGAAUCAAUUAAAUCUUUGUCCAUUCAAUUCUAUCAUCAAUUUUUUUCUCUGUAUUGUCAGAUUUCUCAUCUUAUCAACAGAUUUGGUGCAUGCCCAUGACUGGGUUUAAACCAAUAUCUCUACAUUUAGGGUUCUUCCUGCCCAUCAAUUCUAAAUCUUUGAUAUAUAUAUAUAUAUAGAGAGAGAGAGAUGUAUUCGAUAUAUAUAUCACCAUUAUUCAAUUGAGAUUAGGCAGCCAUAUAUAUAUAUAUAUAUAUAUUAUGGGUUUUGUCGUGCAUGGAGGAGCAGCGCAGUCGUUGGUUUGCAGGUGCAGCAUCAUCAAGAUUCACCUACAAAAUCAAUCUGGCUAUAUAUAUAUAUAUAUAUAUGUCAUACAUAUGUAAGCUCCCAGGUUUGUACAGUACGAGAAUCUUGAUGAUGCUGCAUCAGCAAACAAUGGCUUACAUAUAUUUUCGCAAGAAUGCUAUAAAUAUGGCUCUGGGAAAGGGCACUUCACAGGCUUGAAUUGGUGGCUCUUUUUUCAUUUCUUAUUUCUUAAUGUCUUGUUUUCAGCUUCUGCAUUGAUCAUUUCAUUAAUCUGCAGAUCAAUUAACAUCUCAAUCAUUCUACCUUUUUUCUUUUCUUUUCUUUUCUUUUUUUUCAUGGAUUUUCAGCUGUUGAUGAUGACUUCGGGUGUUUCUUUUUUUCACUCCGGACCCGCUUUCAGUACUAGGUAUUUCUCUUCCUCUCAGUAAGAGCACAAAUGACAAGUAGUCAAGCUCAAGUUAGCCGUUGAAGUAAAGAACAAUCUAAAGCUCCACAUGAGUGGAGGAGUUGGAGACAAAAACAGUGCUGUCAUGGUACAAAAACCAGAUGGAAAGUCGUGAAUAAUGUUGCUUGAAGGUCCACUGAAAAGAGAUGCCCAAAAGGAAAAAACAAUGUCAUAAACGUUGUACUGAUCAUGAAUUGCAUAUCACCAAACAAUCAAUAUAAGUUUGAAAAGGAAA